CCCUUAGAUGUCCUGGGCCGCACGCGCGUUACACUGAUGCAUUCAACGAGCUUAUAACCUUGGCCGAGAGGCCUGGGCAAUCUUGUUAACGUGCAUCGUGAUAGGGAUAGAUUAUUGAAAUUAUUAAUCUUGAACGAGGAAUUCCUAGUAAACGCAGAUCAUCAAUCUGCAUCGAUUACGUCCCUGCCCUUUGUACACACCGCCCGUCGCACCUACCGAUUGGAUGGUCCGGUGAAGCCUCGGGAUUGUGGUUCUUGCCGCUUUAUUGUGGCGUGACCGCGAGAACUUGUCUAAACCUUAUCAUCUAGAGGAAGGUGAAGUCGUAACA
rnacentral:rRNA from 1 species